GACCCAGUAGCGCACGGCGCGCACCCACUCGCAUUGUAGUUUUCAUCGUUGUACUUGCACGUGGGAAGCCUUGGUUCGACUCCAGGCUGGGUCC